ACGUAGGGGGCGAGCGUUGUCCGGAUUUAUUGGGCGUAAAGAGCUCGUAGGCGGCUCGGUAAGUCAGGUGUGAAAACUCUAGGCUCAACCUAGAGACGCCACCUGAUACUGCUGUGGCUAGAGUCCGGUAGGGGAGCAUGGAAUUCCUGGUGUAGCGGUGAAAUGCGCAGAUAUCAGGAGGAACACCAGUGGCGAAGGCGGUGCUCUGGGCCGGAACUGACGCUGAGGAGCGAAAGCGUGGGGAGCAAACAGGA
rnacentral:rRNA from 1 species